rnacentral:rRNA from 1 species
UACAGAGGGUGCGAGCGUUGUCCGGAAUCACUGGGCGUAAAGGGCGCGUAGGCGGCUUGAUAAGGUUGCGGUGAAAGCCCGGGGCUCAACCCCGGGUCGGCCGUGGCAACUGUCGAGCUGGAGCACUGUAGAGGCAGGUGGAAUUCCGGGUGUAGCGGUGGAAUGCGUAGAGAUCCGGAAGAACACCGGUGGCGAAGGCGGCCUGCUGGGCAGUGGCUG